GUUCCGUUUCGACUCUGGUAUUGGCACGACGCGUAAAAACGCUACGCAGCAGCCUCGCUGUUUCACUGAGUCUGUCGUUUUUUCAUUUUUUUUUUAUAUUUUUUUGAGAUACCGAAUAUUUGUUUAAUUUUUUUUAAGAAAUCAUCGUUGUGAAAUUAAGCGAACGGUUGAUUGUUGUUGUUGUUUAUAUGAGAAAAGAAGAUUGAGCGCAGCAAUGUACGAAUUUGUUGCUGUAAUGAGUCCUGCUACAAUAUAAUAUUAAACUAUCACAGUUAUGUUUAGAUGGUAACUACUGGUGUAUGUUGUAAAAUGUAUGUCUUUUGCUAUAAGUAUGCAUAUAUAUUUGGUUCGUUGUUGAAUUCACUGUUGGAUUGCUUUGCUUCACUUGUGUCAAAGUAUUUGUACAACCUACUGAGACUCGCCUUCUCAAAUGUGUAGUGUGGUCAUUGUUGUCGUUGCGGAUAACGGCGCAUCACCGCGCUUCCAUUGCUGCUCAUCGUCGGUUUCCAAGUUUUCCACUGUAAUUAUGGAGCUACGAUUCCCGGGCGCUUUGUUGUUGGCAUUGCCAUUUUUGUUUUGAUAGUUAUGCACCUGCAACGGUUCAGCAGUUUGUUGUUGCUGUUGCUCUUGUGUCAAUUCAUGAUUUGGACGGCGACGAAAUGCCUCGACGGAGCUUAAGCGUCGCCAAGAGGUGCCGGUGAUCGCCAAGCUAUGUGGUGGCGUUAUAUAACGUAUUGGUUUACCGUUGUAGCAGUUUUAUUUUGAUGUUAUGCGUAUUCAUUUUAAAAUGUUUGGCAUUUGUUGUUGUUGUUUAUGCACAAUUUUGCCACGCAUUUUGUUAUUUCAAAUUUUUAUUAUUUCAAAUUUAAAUUGCAUUUUUUUUGUGUUAGCAUUUCGUAAAACGUGGUGAACACACACACACACAAACAAACGCGUUGCGGGGAGGGAAAGCGCACAAAAGUGGGGAAAUAAAA